AGAGUUUGAUCAUGGCUCAGAUUGAACGCUGGCGGCAGGCCUAACACAUGCAAGUCGAGCGGUAGCACAGAAGAGCUUGCUCUUUGGGUGACGAGCGGCGGACGGGUGAGUAAUGUCUGGGAAACUGCCUGAUGGAGGGGGAUAACUACUGGAAACGGUAGCUAAUACCGCAUAACGUCGCAAGACCAAAGUGGGGGACCUUCGGGCCUCAUGCCAUCAGAUGUGCCCAGAUGGGAUUAGCUAGUAGGUGAGGUAAUGGCUCACCUAGGCGACGAUCCCUAGCUGGUCUGAGAGGAUGACCAGCCACACUGGAACUGAGACACGGUCCAGACUCCUACGGGAGGCAGCAGUGGGGAAUAUUGCACAAUGGGCGCAAGCCUGAUGCAGCCAUGCCGCGUGUAUGAAGAAGGCCUUCGGGUUGUAAAGUACUUUCAGCGAGGAGGAAGGCGUUAAGGUUAAUAACCUUAGCGAUUGACGUUACUCGCAGAAGAAGCACCGGCUAACUCCGUGCCAGCAGCCGCGGUAAUACGGAGGGUGCAAGCGUUAAUCGGAAUUACUGGGCGUAAAGCGCACGCAGGCGGUCUGUCAAGUCGGAUGUGAAAUCCCCGGGCUCAACCUGGGAACUGCAUCCGAAACUGGCAGGCUAGAGUCUUGUAGAGGGGGGUAGAAUUCCAGGUGUAGCGGUGAAAUGCGUAGAGAUCUGGAGGAAUACCGGUGGCGAAGGCGGCCCCCUGGACAAAGACUGACGCUCAGGUGCGAAAGCGUGGGGAGCAAACAGGAUUAGAUACCCUGGUAGUCCACGCUGUAAACGAUGUCGACUUGGAGGUUGUUCCCUUGAGGAGUGGCUUCCGGAGCUAACGCGUUAAGUCGACCGCCUGGGGAGUACGGCCGCAAGGUUAAAACUCAAAUGAAUUGACGGGGGCCCGCACAAGCGGUGGAGCAUGUGGUUUAAUUCGAUGCAACGCGAAGAACCUUACCUACUCUUGACAUCCAGAGAACUUAGCAGAGAUGCUUUGGUGCCUUCGGGAACUCUGAGACAGGUGCUGCAUGGCUGUCGUCAGCUCGUGUUGUGAAAUGUUGGGUUAAGUCCCGCAACGAGCGCAACCCUUAUCCUUUGUUGCCAGCGGUUCGGCCGGGAACUCAAAGGAGACUGCCAGUGAUAAACUGGAGGAAGGUGGGGGAUGACGUCAAGUCAUCAUGGCCCUUACGAGUAGGGCUACACACGUGCUACAAUGGCAUAUACAAAGAGAAGCGACCUCGCGAGAGCAAGCGGACCUCAUAAAGUAUGUCGUAGUCCGGAUCGGAGUCUGCAACUCGACUCCGUGAAGUCGGAAUCGCUAGUAAUCGUGGAUCAGAAUGCCACGGUGAAUACGUUCCCGGGCCUUGUACACACCGCCCGUCACACCAUGGGAGUGGGUUGCAAAAGAAGUAGGUAGCUUAACCUUCGGGAGGGCGCUUACCACUUUGUGAUUCAUGACUGGGGUGAAGUCGUAACAAGGUAACCGUAGGGGAACCUGCGGUUGGAUCACCU
rnacentral:rRNA from 1 species